rnacentral:rRNA from 1 species
GACGAACGCUGGCGGCGUGCUUAACACAUGCAAGUCGAACGGUAAGGCUCCAGCUUGCUGGGGUACACGAGUGGCGAACGGGUGAGUAACACGUGGGUGACCUGCCCUGCACUUCGGGAUAAGCCUGGGAAACUGGGUCUAAUACCGGAUAGGACCGCACCGUGAGGGUGUGGUGGAAAGUUUUUUCGGUGUGGGAUGGGCCCGCGGCCUAUCAGCUUGUUGGUGGGGUAAUGGCCUACCAAAGCGGCGACGGGUAGCCGGCCUGAGAGGGUGGACGGCCACAUUGGGACUGAGACACGGCCCAGACUCCUACGGGAGGCAGCAGUGGGGAAUAUUGCACAAUGGGCGGAAGCCUGAUGCAGCGACGCCGCGUGGGGGAUGACGGCCUUCGGGUUGUAAACUCCUUUCACCAUCGACGAAGGGUUUCUGACGGUAGAUGGAGAAGAAGCACCGGCUAACUACGUGCCAGCAGCCGCGGUAAUACGUAGGGUGCGAGCGUUGUCCGGAAUUACUGGGCGUAAAGAGCUCGUAGGUGGUUUGUCGCGUCGUCUGUGAAAUUCCGGGGCUUAACUCCGGGCGUGCAGGCGAUACGGGCAUAACUUGAGUACUGUAGGGGAGACUGGAAUUCCUGGUGUAGCGGUGAAAUGCGCAGAUAUCAGGAGGAACACCGGUGGCGAAGGCGGGUCUCUGGGCAGUAACUGACGCUGAGGAGCGAAAGCAUGGGGAGCGAACAGGAUUAGAUACCCUGGUAGUCCAUGCCGUAAACGGUGGGCGCUAGGUGUGGGUUUCCUUCCACGGGAUCCGUGCCGUAGCUAACGCAUUAAGCGCCCCGCCUGGGGAGUACGGCCGCAAGGCUAAAACUCAAAGGAAUUGACGGGGGCCCGCACAAGCGGCGGAGCAUGUGGAUUAAUUCGAUGCAACGCGAAGAACCUUACCUGGGCUUGACAUAUACAGGAUCGCGCCAGAGAUGGUGUUUCCCUUGUGGCUUGUAUACAGGUGGUGCAUGGUUGUCGUCAGCUCGUGUCGUGAGAUGUUGGGUUAAGUCCCGCAACGAGCGCAACCCUUGUCUUAUGUUGCCAGCACGUUGUGGUGGGGACUCGUAAGAAACUGCCGGGGUUAACUCGGAGGAAGGUGGGGAUGACGUCAAAUCAUCAUGCCCCUUAUGUCCAGGGCUUCACACAUGCUACAAUGGUCGGUACAGUGGGUUGCCAGUCCGUGAGGGCGAGCUAAUCCCGCAAAGCCGGUCUCAGUUCGGAUCGGGGUCUGCAACUCGACCCCGUGAAGUCGGAGUCGCUAGUAAUCGCAGAUCAGCAACGCUGCGGUGAAUACGUUCCCGGGGCCU